rnacentral:rRNA from 1 species
AGUUUGAUCCUGGCUCAGAUUGAACGCUGGCGGCAGGCCUAACACAUGCAAGUCGAGCGGUAGCACAGAGAGCUUGCUCUCGGGUGACGAGCGGCGGACGGGUGAGUAAUGUCUGGGAAACUGCCUAAUGGAGGGGGAUAACUACUGGAAACGGUAGCUAAUACCGCAUAACGUCGCAAGACCAAAGUGGGGGACCUUCGGGCCUCAUGCCAUCAGAUGUGCCCAGAUGGGAUUAGCUAGUAGGUGGGGUAAUGGCUCACCUAGGCGACGAUCCCUAGCUGGUCUGAGAGGAUGACCAGCCACACUGGAACUGAGACACGGUCCAGACUCCUACGGGAGGCAGCAGUGGGGAAUAUUGCACAAUGGGCGCAAGCCUGAUGCAGCCAUGCCGCGUGUAUGAAGAAGGCCUUCGGGUUGUAAAGUACUUUCAGCGAGGAGGAAGGCGUUAAGGUUAAUAACCUUGGCGAUUGACGUUACUCGCAGAAGAAGCACCGGCUAACUCCGUGCCAGCAGCCGCGGUAAUACGGAGGGUGCAAGCGUUAAUCGGAAUUACUGGGCGUAAAGCGCACGCAGGCGGUCUGUUAAGUCAGAUGUGAAAUCCCCGGGCUCAACCUGGGAACUGCAUUUGAAACUGGCAGGCUUGAGUCUUGUAGAGGGGGGUAGAAUUCCAGGUGUAGCGG